GAUGAACGCUGGCGGCGUGCCUAAUACAUGCAAGUCGAGCGAACGGACGCGAAGCUUGUUUCUCUGACGUUAGCGGCGGACGGGUGUGUAACAUGUGGAUAACCUACCUAUAAGACUGGGAUAACUUCGGGAAACCGUAGCUAAUACCGGAUAAUAUUUUGAACCGCAUGGUUCAAAAGUGAAAGACGGUCUUGCUGUCACUUAUAGAUGGAUCCGCGCUGCAUUAGCUAGUUGGGAAGGUAACGGCUUUCCAAGGCAACGAUGCAUAGCCGACCUGAUAGGGUGGUCGGCCACACUGGAGCGGAGACACGGUCCAGACUCCUACGGUAGGCAGCAGUAUGGAAUCUUCCGCAAUAGGCGAAAGCCUGGCAGAGCGACGCCGCGUGAGUGAUAGAGGUCUUCGGAUCGUAAAACUCUGUUAUUAGUGAAGAACAUAUGUGUAAGGAACUGUGCACAUCUUGACGGUACCUAAUCAAGAAGCCACGGCUAACUACGUG
rnacentral:rRNA from 1 species